UACAGAGGUGGCGAGCGUUACUCGGAUUUAUUGGGUGUAAAGGGCAGGUAGGUGUCCUUGCAAGUCAGGAGUGAAAUCCUAUGGCUCAACCAUAGAACUGCUUUUGAAACUGCGAGGAUUGAGGAUAGAAGAGGAGAGCGGAAUUCCCGGUGUAAGGGUGAAAUCUGUAGAUAUCGGGAGGAACACCAGUGGCGAAAGCGGCUCUCUGGUCUAUCCCUGACGCUGAUCUGCGAAAGCUAGGGGAGCAAACAGG
rnacentral:rRNA from 1 species